GGAGGAUCAUUUGCACAUGUCUCUUCAACACAAUGUUCAAUGAUAUUGUGGGCUGUGGCUUGCUGGUCUUGCUUCAAGCUGGUAUGUCUUGCCCUGGGCUGCAUGGCUUGCAAUCGCAACCAUGUGUGCUAAUUGUAUUUACAAGGCAUAACGUGGCAUUGCUAAUGUGCUUGACUUUUACAUGUAAUAUGUUUUGCAAAGAAUGUCUUAGCUCAAUAGAUGAUGAAGAAUGCAGCAAAAUGCAUUAUGCAUUGUGAAUUGCAGAAUUCCGUGAGCCAAUUGAUGUUUGAAUGUUACUUGCACCUUCGGGAUAUGCUUGAAGGUUUGCUUGAUUCAAUGCCAAUACUCUUCCAAGUGUAUCUGUGCUGCUCAGCAUUGCUGUGAGCUGUUAAGGGUCAAUGUGUGUUGCAUUGGACCUUUGUGCUUGCAGAUGUGUUGCAACCUGAACAUGAUUAAUUGGGGCUGACCUUUUUCAUCAUUUGUUGGUUGCUAUUGCAUAUCAUUUGCUUAUUGGUGAAAUGUUGAACAUUGACAAUGCAUUUGGCAUGAAGUGAAGCACAUAAACCUGCUGAAUUUAAGCAUAUAAGUAAGUGGUGGAAAUUAAACC
rnacentral:rRNA from 1 species